rnacentral:rRNA from 1 species
GGGAAACCGGGGCUAAUACCGGAUGGUUGUUUGAACCGCAUGGUUCAAACAUAAAAGGUGGCUUCGGCUACCACUUACAGAUGGACCCGCGGCGCAUUAGCUAGUUGGUGAGGUAACGGCUCACCAAGGCAACGAUGCGUAGCCGACCUGAGAGGGUGAUCGGCCACACUGGGACUGAGACACGGCCCAGACUCCUACGGGAGGCAGCAGUAGGGAAUCUUCCGCAAUGGACGAAAGUCUGACGGAGCAACGCCGCGUGAGUGAUGAAGGUUUUCGGAUCGUAAAGCUCUGUUGUUAGGGAAGAACAAGUACCGUUCGAAUAGGGCGGUACCUUGACGGUACCUAACCAGAAAGCCACGGCUAACUACGUGCCAGCAGCCGCGGUAAUACGUAGGUGGCAAGCGUUGUCCGGAAUUAUUGGGCGUAAAGGGCUCGCAGGCGGUUUCUUAAGUCUGAUGUGAAAGCCCCCGGCUCAACCGGGGAGGGUCAUUGGAAACUGG